GACGUAGGGCGCGAGCGUUGUCCGGAUUUAUUGGGCGUAAAGAGCUCGUAGGCGGUUGGGUAAGUCGGGUGUGAAAACUCCAGGCUCAACUUGGAGACGCCACCCGAUACUGCUCUGACUUGAGUUCGGUAGGGGAGUGGGGAAUUCCCGGUGUAGCGGUGAAAUGCGCAGAUAUCAGGAGGAACACCGGUGGCGAAGGCGCCACUCUGGGCCGAAACUGACGCUGAGGAGCGAAAGCGUGGGUAGCAAACAGG
rnacentral:rRNA from 1 species